rnacentral:ncRNA from 1 species
AAACAACCAAUGAUGGGGAAUAGUAAAUAAGAACACGCAUGAUCAGAGAAAAACCGCCUUAGGCUGCAAGUGGUUUUACAUGACGACUUAUUGAAUGAACACCCCGUAGGUUCAACUCUGAAAAGAUGUCUUAGUAGGAAUUGACGUAUGCAGGCGUUAACUGCCUUGAGUGGAAGCUUUUUUAGGCUUCAAUUAGGGUGGCACCACGGGAAUUUCAAACUCCCGUCCCUUGU